CAUUACAAGCUUUCUUGGUCCCCCAAGUCCGUAUCACAUCCCCAGCUUUUGUCCUCCAUUGUCUCAUUCUUCGUUUGUCAUCGCUCGCAAUGUCUAGCCUGAUAGAUAUCUGGACGGAGGAGCUCGAAAAGAUCCGUGAGAGGGGCCGAGCCACGUCCCUCUCCGCCUCCGGUGAUUCAAGCCCAGGGGCCGAGCAAGGCCAGGCCAGGGAAGCGGAAGGACUCUCUCUUCCAAGCUUCCGGGUUGUUGGCCAGGCAUUCCAGAUCGAUACACGCCCACCUUCAACUACUCUUUCCUCAGAGACACGUUUGGCCAUCCUGCUGGAUUGCUUUGGCCUGUAGCUCUCUCGAAGGAGCUUAUGCUCCAAUCUUUAUCGUAGCAUGUAUCGAUCCUUUUGUAAUUUCUCAUUUUCUCGAUCAAUCCGGGUGGGUUUUUCUCCUCUUUGGUUUUCAAAAGAAGUGCAAAUCUUGGUUAUAUGAUCUCUGUCACCUUGUGAACUAGUGAUGCGUGCUCCUGAGGAUGAUAAGAAGGUUACUGGUUUUUGUG
rnacentral:lncRNA from 1 species